rnacentral:other from 2 species
UAGAAAAUCCUUAUAGUUACUCAUGCACGGACGCAAUGAAGUCGGUCAGGAAGACUGGCUGCCAGGGUUGGGCAAAUGGACUCACCACAGGAUGUGGUAAAGGACACCUCCCAGGACGGAGAAAGUGCGACGGGACAGGAUGACUCGUCAGGCCAAGAUGGCUAAAGGACACCCCAAAGGAUUGGGAAGGGGAAACCUAAAGGAAGAGGUAAACAGUCAGGGAUUGCAGGGAGCAACUUCGUUCAAGGAUCUGAGCGAUACGACUACCGGGGGCGACGCAAGUCGCCCCCAUCUUUUUAU